GUAAGAGCAAUGACAGGAUAGGGAGAAUUAACAAAAAGGUACUGUGUGAGCUGCUUGAAGAGGGAACCGUACUGAACAAGAAAACAUUAUUAGCAGCUGUUAUUCUUCCUUUGUGGCCUACUGAAGGAGUAUCAGUUCUUAGAGAAUCUUAAAGUAGUUAAAAGUCACAGUUUCUAGUCUAGAAUCCUGACUCAGAGAGAUAUCAGAAAUGUUGCACACUACAGAAGCCCCUUGUCAGCUUUACAACUCAGGAAUGUUUUUCUGAAGGGUCUGGGAGCCAUCUCUCUCCCAGACACCUGGCUCUGUAACCAACCACCUGCUUGUCAUGAACAUAUGAAAAGAAUAAUUUUUCCUUUGGAUAAAGACAACUGACACAGAUGGACAACUACCAGGAGAAUUCAGGCUAAAACAGAUGUAAGAGCAACGGUGCUGGUCCAGUCCUGCUACAUGAGGACCAAUUUUCAUCGUCUUGAGAAUACAUAUGUCAUAGAUCACGUCUGUCUGGCUUCACCAAAGGCUGAGCUCUCCUUCUGUCCACUAUCUCAUUACUGGGUUGCCUGUAAUGUUCACUGCAGUCUUAAUGCUUAUCCAAUAAUAAAACUUUCUUUCUUUCCUA